rnacentral:tRNA from 2 species
AAGGAGUUAGUUAAAAUAUAACAUUAGAGUGUCAAUCUAAAAUAACUAAUUAAUAGUACACCUUG